UGUAAGCUACUACAGUGGUGCGUGAAGGAUAGGAGUAAAAAUCCUUUGUUGCCAAAGACCGGCAACAAAGAUUGAAACGGAUAGCCUGACCCUUG
rnacentral:sRNA from 1 species